AGCGAACGCUGGCGGCAGGCCUAACACAUGCAAGUCGAACGGAUCCUUCGGGAUUAGUGGCGGACGGGUGAGUAACACGUGGGAACGUGCCCUUUUGUUCGGAACAACUCAGGGAAACUUGAGCUAAUACCGGAUGUGCCCUUCGGGGGAAAGAUUUAUCGCCAUUGGAGCGGCCCGCGUCUGAUUAGCUAGUUGGUGAGGUAACGGCCCACCAAGGCGACGAUCAGUAGCUGGUCUGAGAGGAUGAUCAGCCACACUGGGACUGAGACACGGCCCAGACUCCUACGGGAGGCAGCAGUGGGGAAUCUUGCGCAAUGGGCGAAAGCCUGACGCAGCCAUGCCGCGUGAAUGAUGAAGGUCUUAGGAUUGUAAAAUUCUUUCAGCGGGGACGAUAAUGACGGUACCCGCAGAAGAAGCUCCGGCUAACUUCGUG
rnacentral:rRNA from 1 species